GAUGAACGCUGGCGGCGUGCCUAAUACAUGCAAGUCGAGCGAACGGACGAGAAGCUUGCUUCUCUGAUGUUAGCGGCGGACGGGUGAGUAACACGUGGAUAACCCACCUAUAAGACUGGGAUAACUUCGGGAAACCGUAGCUAAUACCGGAUAAUAUCUUGAACCGCAUGGUUCAAAAGUGAAAGACGGUCUUGCUGGCACGUAUAGAUGGAUCCGCGCUGCAUUAGCUAGUUGGGAAGGUAACGGCUUACCAAGGCAACGAUGCAUAGCCGACCUGAGAGGGUGAUCGGCCACACUGGAACUGAGACACGGUCCAGACUCCUACGGGAGGCAGCAGUAGGGAAUCUUCCGCAAUGGGCGAAAGCCUGACGGAGCAACGCCGCGUGAGUGAUGAAGGUCUUCGGAUCGUAAAACUCUGUUACUAGGGAAGAACAUAUGUGUAAGUAACUGUGCACAUCUUGACGGUACCUAAUCAGAAAGCCACGGCUAACUACGUG
rnacentral:rRNA from 1 species